rfam:Gossypium raimondii Chr01_contig_799, whole genome shotgun sequence.
UGUUAAAAAGUCCAUUAAUCUCUGCUGAUAAAAACUAGAGUGGUUGACAGAAUAACCAAACAAACACGAGGAAUGCCACAUGUACCUGAUGCUGACGUAGAUAGACUAAUUUUUAACAAUAGAAAUGGAUAAUAUUUUUAAUA